UGGGGAAUAUUGGGCAAUGGGGGGAACCCUGACCCAGCAACGCCGCGUGGAGGAAGAAGGUUUUCGGAUCGUAAACUCCUGUCCUUGGAGACGAGUAGAAGACGGUAUCCAAGGAGGAAGCCCCGGCUAACUACGUGCCAGCAGCCGCGGUAAUACGUAGGGGGCAAGCGUUGUCCGGAAUAAUUGGGCGUAAAGGGCGCGUAGGCGGCUCGGUAAGUCUGGAGUGAAAGUCCUGCUUUUAAGGUGGGAAUUGCUUUGGAUACUGUCGGGCUUGAGUGCAGGAGAGGUUAGUGGAAUUCCCAGUGUAGCGGUGAAAUGCGUAGAGAUUGGGAGGAACACCAGUGGCGAAGGCGACUAACUGGACUGUAACUGACGCUGAGGCGCGAAAGUGUGGGGAGCAAACAGG
rnacentral:rRNA from 1 species